UUGGAUCAAAACGAUAAUGAAGUCCUAAUGGUGUCUUACGUUAAUCCUAGGCUUUGAGUUGUAACUGGAUGGAUCUAAUCAAGUCUCCACCUACUUGCCUGAUUUCUUCGCAAACAACAUCAGCAUCCAAAACCACAGUGUCCUUGUCAACAACUUUGAAGGGGUAGUCGAUAUUUGUACGAUAAGGGCGGUUAGCUAGAAUACGGGGGUUGAAGACACCAGUCACUACUUUAGGAUUCUUCUUGUUGUAAAAAAAGGAAAUCGUGUCCUCAAAGCAACGAUGAAGUUCUUUCACAAAUUCCGUAAUAGGCUCAAAACCUGGUCUUUCUGAAGACAUGUUUUGCAAGUUUUUAUAUUUCGUUAAGUUGCUUUCACGAUACAUAGGAAGCUUGUUAAUGUUGACGUCAAUAACAACAUGAUAAAUAUCAAGUGAACUUUUGAAUAUAGACUUGUAAUUUGGAGUAUCCUUCAGUAACUCGCUAAGCGAGGCUCUUGCCAAACUAGUAAUUCUAUUUGCGAUAAUUUUGGAAGGUUUGUAAUACCCAAUAUGAUUACCGUCAAAGUCAUAGUCAGUGAUAAUAUAAUAUGCAUUAUGAGCAAUCGCAACGUCUUGUUUCCUAAUACUUUCAAGCUUUUCCGUAGCUUGAUGUCGAACAUCGUGAGGGAGUUUACCGUUUGAAUUGAUGAUCAGAGGGUCAAAUCUCCAAUCCCAAUGAGCAAGAAAAUGUAACAUUCUACAGAAUGAAGUUUCACCGCUUGAUGUAGUUCGCCAAGAACUUGAGUUAAUAUAUACACUAGCAACUAGUAGUUCAAUUACUUCAUCAGUAACGUGGUCGGUAAGUAAAUGGCUAUAAAACCAAUGUUUCGCAAGGCGUACAGCCAUCGAAUAACUUCGAUGGGCUUGACAAAUAGCUUGAAUAGCAAGUGUAUGGCGCGGAAUAAAUUGAAACAUGUGUUCAUAAGCAUAGAGGCCUUUUUGAGCAGAUAAUUUAGUUGAAGGGUUUCUCUCAAGGCUCUUCCAAAAAAAGAUCUCACGAUCAUUCCGGAGUCGAUAUCUGAAAGUAAAAUUAUUGGAAAAUAAUACUUGCAAAAAGCAGCAAUUAUGUGUAGGAUUAUCAGUGUUUUCUAAUCCUACAGAAGCUCUUUCGACAUUAUCGAGCGCUUCCAAUAAUUCCGCUAUCUUCAACAGGAAUGCAAUUUUAGUUCUCUGUAUUCCUUCAAGUUCAUCUGGCCACUUGGAGGAUGAUUCAAACUGAAAAACAACGUCAAUAGGUGCGCAUGUCGAAGAUUCGUAAAAUGGAACAGAGCUUGAACUAUAUCUAAGUGAUUCAUCGGCAGGUAAUAUUUCUGCAAUUGACAAAGGAAUAUCGCUAAGAUUAAUCAACGAUUUAACAGCUUCAUUAUACGCCUCCAUCACAGGGACGUACUCGUUGUAAGUAUCUGUAUUAGGUGAUAUUUUUGAAUGCACAUACACUCGGAAUUUUUCAUUACGAAAGGAAACACGAUCUCCGACAUUAUUACCAAGGUGACGAUUUAGUAUAUGACGAAUAAUUCGUUGUGGAAUUCUAAUUCUUUCAUCAGGAGACGAGCAUUCCCAGUAUACACUUUCAGCUAUGCUUCCAUUUUUAAAUUUGCGAAGUUCCGAAACUUCUCCCCAGAAUUCUCGGAACUUUUGAGAGCCAACUGUAUCAUCAGGAGAGGGCCCAAUAUCUACUAACCUUAGCAAAGCGUCGGGGUUAAGUAAAAGACCAAAUGAGAUAAGCUUGGGAAGUUUAGUUUUUAGACUUUCAUUGAUAGAACAUGAUGUACAUAUAGAAGAGUAUAAAAUAAUUUGGCAGACACGAUCACCAAGAGCAUGUUGUAAAAGAUCCCAAGUAUAUUCCAAGUAUAAGCUAUAUGGUGAAUCCAGAUCAGUUUUUCUACAAAAAUUGGGAUCUUCCAACUCUUUAGGCUCCAAUGGAAUGCAACCCGAAACAUCAAAUUCCAAAGCGG